CGUCGAAUCGGUGACACGCGGGACCUGUCCACUUACCAGUUCACAACCCCUUUUCCCCCAGCCAAGACCGACCGGCGGCCAACGCAUGCCCCAUUCCAUUCUCCCUCCUUCUUCAUUCCCCUCCUCCAUAUCCUCUCUCUCUCUCUCCCCUCAAGUAGUGAGAGAUUCUCACUUCACCUGAAUGAGUACAAAAUCCGGAUUCCCCCGACUGGCUGAAGCGUAGCAGAGAGAGGGAGUGGACUGGUGGGGGGAAUGGUGAGGUGUGCGAGGUGCUGCCUCCGGAAGGCCAUGGGGGUGAUGAACAUAGUGGUCACUCUUUGCGGCAUCGGCAUGAUCAUCUACUCCCUCUGGCUCCAGAAGAUGUGGGAAAUCGGAGUCUCCGACCUCCCUUCCAUCGCUAACCUCCCCAAGCCCUGGUACCCCCUCUCUCUCUGUCUCUCUGAGUCAAUGUGUGGAUUGAGCUGCAAGCCUGCAAUCUGCCACUUACCAGUAGUCUCAGCGUUCAAAUGGCUGCAAUUUGCAUAUAAUUUACUGACAGUAAUCGUCUUAGGAUCACCCCCGGUUGCAAAAAAUGUCCGGGGGGUAUCUUCACCUUGGUUGCUGGUCUGCAAGUUCCCGAGAAAGAAACCAGAAUCGAGAUAAUUGAGUAGUUUCACCCGGGAUUUUAAUGGCGAGUUACAGAAGCACAACAUGUUACGGGAAGAGGUUCUUUGGUAGUAUUGUGGAGUUAUCUAACAGCUCAUGUAGUCGUUUCCAGAAAAUGAUCAGUGAUGAAUUUGUUCUCAAGAAAGUGGUUGGUGUGGUGAUGCCAACAGAGGAGAAAUGCGGGGCCGUCAUCCUUGAUCAAUACAUGGGGGUAAAGAUCACAUUCAGCCCUGUUCGAACUUGUAAAUAGGUUUGCUCGGGUGAGAACACGGAGAUAUGUCUAACAUGGUAGACACAGGGACAAACCACAAAGAGUAAUGGUUUUUCGUCGUAUUGUUUCGUUUUCAUCGUAAAUCCAAAGACGGAAAGUUGGGAACGGAUGUAAAAUUAGACCCUUCAUUGAGGAGUUUGAUUCAGUCUACUAGAGAUUGGCAUAUUUUUGCUAGUUGUCUCCCUAUGAUCUGGUUUCUUGGCUCUUAUUUGUGUUCCUAUGGUUAGCUGUUCCAAAAGCGGAGUUAUUACUUAGGAUCAUUUUUCGUGCAUACGACUGCUCAGAGGAGAAUGGGCUGUCAUCCAUCUGGUUUUUCUAGCUUGCUCUCCAAACAUAAUACGACCUUGAAUUUUCAACAAAUUUGAGAUACAAUUCUCAACAAUCUCCAUCUUGUCUUGAAUUUUCCAAAACUUCGAGAGCGAUACGAACACCACCAUGCUCAAUCUGCACACCAGCCAAGACAAUUGGAAUAAUCGUCAUAACCCUUGUUGUCUUCUCCUGAAGCCAAAAGUUGAAUCUUAUUGUGUCCACGACCUUCUCGAUGUCGAACUUCAUUGUAGCCACUUGGAAUUGAGUCGACUACAAAAACGCCAUAACCUUAGCUCUAAUACCAGUUUGUUGGGAAUCGACUCAACAAUAGACGAAGAUAAUGCGGAAGCAAGAAGAAAUUGCACACAAGAUAUACGUGGUAAACCCUCAAACAUGGUGAAAACUUUUGAAGGAAAUAUCCACAGGCAAAGGAGGUUUGACGGUGACUUCUUAUUGAGCAAGAAAUAUGAAGUGAAGUACAAUACGAAUGCGUCCCUAACAGGCACAAUGGCCAAACACAAACGAGGAACCCUAACCUUCUCGUAGAAAUAUCUCAUUUCAGGAAUAUUCCCACUCUCUAAACGCUCUCCCCGCACUUUACAUGAAAGCUCUCGAUAUAUAUAUAGACUCCAAUUCUCUCUCAACGUAAUAUUUCCUAUAAUCUCUAUCAAUAAUAUCCCCAAAAUAUGAUAUUUUCAAGAUAUUACCGAACCAAAAGAUAGAGAUUUAAAAGCGAUGUGGUAUAACGAUACAAUGAAACUUAUCAAAUUGUUAUUUGCAGUAAUGCAAAAGGUCAAUAGACGAUAGCUCUCCUUCGUCCUACGUUUGUAUCAUUUGGUUAGUCGACCCAGCUUUUGUUAUUUUAUGUAUAUUAUUUUUUUUAUUAUCAUAAAAAAUUAUAGAUAAUGAGAUAACGAAUCCAUGCAAUAUAUGGGAUAGAAAAGUAGUUCCAGUAUGAGCGGGUAAUUUAAUGCUGAAUUCAUUAAAAAGAAUAGGGGUAGUUACUGUUAAGUGCUGAGGAUAAUGGGAGCAUUUGUCCGUCGGACAUCCAGACACUUUCCCAUACUCAGAUCACAAACGUAAUUGAAAUCCUAAGAAUUAAUGUCCCAUGUGAGACACGGGUUGAUUUUUCUUUUUCCGACAUGUAUAUAUACAUAUACAUAUACAUGCUUACGUAAUAAACAUGCAUAUCCCGUACUAAAUUUAUCUGGCUGAGAUUUAAAAAAAGAAGAAGAAAAAGAAAUGGGUGAAAAGGGCCCCACGUGGCCCUCAUUUGCCCUUUAAGCCAUCAUGCCACCGCCAUUUCUUAUUCAUUUAAUUUUGUUUCUUUCUUCCUUCUUUUUCUUGGCUCUGUUUUCUGCUGGGCAAGUCGAAGGAAGAAACAGAGCAUUAGAGAAAUAGAGAAAACGGGGGGGGGGGUGGGUGGGUGGGUGGGUCGGGGUAGGAAAUCUUCCUACAAGGAAGAGCUCGACUUUGCUCUCUGGUUCGAUUGUCGACUAAUUUCGGAAUUCGCUAUCCAAGGUUUCUAUAGACACCGAAAUCACUAAAUUUGGAGGUCAGGAGAGGGAGAACUGAGCUCAAGAAGUCGAGACUGUGAGCUGCCUGCAACUGCAAAUUCUACUCAGCGAACAGUCAUUUUGAAUUGAGGAGGUUGAGAGGCUUUGCAUUCCGAUGACUCAAGUGGGUGAGCAUAUUUUUUAGAACUAUCUAUAAGCUUUUGGCUGCGCGGGAGAGCCAUUUUUGAUAUCGGGGAUCAACUUGGAGAAUUAGGUAGAGAUAUUAGUUAUUUGAUAGCUAUUCUUUUUGUAUAUAACGUAUUUGAAUAUGUUACGACCUGAAAUUUUUGUUUAGUUGGUUUAGUGAAGUGACUCUAUUGGAAUAUAUGUGUGUGUGUGUGUGUGUGUGAGCUAGCUAGAUUGGUUAUAUGUUGUUGAGAGUUAUGGAAAGCAGGUUUUAUAUGAAUAGUUUAUGUGAUAAUGGAUAUCGAAGAAUUAUAGGGGAAAUUUAACUGAAA